rnacentral:rRNA from 2 species
UGGGGAAUAUUGGGCAAUGGGGGCAACCCUGACCCAGCAACGCCGCGUGAAGGAUGAAGGCCCUCGGGUUGUAAACUUCUGUUGGAUGGGAAAAAAAGCCGCAAGGUCUUGAUGGUACCAUUCGAGUAAGCACCGGCUAACUACGUGCCAGCAGCCGCGGUAAUACGUAGGGUGCAAGCGUUGUUCGGAAUCACUGGGCGUAAAGAGAGCGUAGGCGGGAUUGUAAGUUAGGAGUUUAAUGCAUGGGCUUAACCCAUGAUCUGCUUUUAAUACUGCAGUUCUUGAGUAUGGGAGAGGGUGAUGGAAUUCCAGGUGUAGCGGUGGAAUGCGUAGAUAUCUGGAAGAACACCAGUAGCGAAGGCGGUCGCCUGGCCCAAUACUGACGCUGAGGCUCGAAAGCUAGGGGAGCAAACAGG